rnacentral:rRNA from 1 species
UCAAGUGAAUAAGUGCAUCAGGUGGAUGCCUUGGCGAUGAUAGGCGACGAAGGACGUGUAAGCCUGCGAAAAGCGUGGGGGAGCUGGCAAUAAAGCUAUGAUCCCGCGGUGUCCGAAUGGGGAAACCCACCUCUUAGGAGGUAUCCUUAUCUGAAUACAUAGGAUAAGCGAAGCGAACCCGGAGAACUGAACCAUCUAAGUACCCGGAGGAAAAGAAAUCAACCGAGAUUCCGCAAGUAGUGGCGAGCGAACGCGGAGGAGCCUGUACGUGAUAACUGUCGAGAUAGAAGAACAAGCUGGGAAGCUUGACCAUAGUGGGUGAUAGUCCCGUAUUCGAAAUCUCAAUAGUGGUACUAAGCGUACGAAAAGUAGGGCGGGACACGUGAAAUCCUGUCUGAAUAUGGGGGGACCAUCCUCCAAGGCUAAAUACUCAUCAUCGACCGAUAGUGAACCAGUACCGUGAGGGAAAGGCGAAAAGAACCCCGGGAGGGGAGUGAAAUAGAACCUGAAACCUGAUGCAUACAAACAGUGGGAGCACCCUUGUGGUGUGACUGCGUACCUUUUGUAUAAUGGGUCAACGACUUACAUUCAGUAGCGAGCUUAACCGAAUAGGGGAGGCGUAGGGAAACCGAGUCUUAAUAGGGCGAACAGUUGCUGGGUGUAGACCCGAAACCGAGUGAUCUAUCCAUGGCCAGGUUGAAGGUGCCGUAACAGGUACUGGAGGACCGAACCCACGCAUGUUGCAAAAUGCGGGGAUGAGCUGUGGAUAGGGGUGAAAGGCUAAACAAACUCGGAGAUAGCUGGUUCUCCCCGAAAACUAUUUAGGUAGUGCCUCGAGCAAGACACUGAUGGGGGUAAAGCACUGUUAUGGCUAGGGGGUUAUUGCAACUUACCAACCCAUGGCAAACUAAGAAUACCAUCAAGUGGUUCCUCGGGAGACAGACAGCGGGUGCUAACGUCCGUUGUCAAGAGGGAAACAACCCAGACCGCCAGCUAAGGUCCCAAAUGAUAGAUUAAGUGGUAAACGAAGUGGGAAGGCCCAGACAGCCAGGAUGUUGGCUUAGAAGCAGCCAUCAUUUAAAGAAAGCGUAAUAGCUCACUGGUCGAGUCGUCCUGCGCGGAAGAUGUAACGGGGCUCAAAUCUAUAACCGAAGCUGCGGAUGCCAGUUUACUGGCAUGGUAGGGGAGCGUUCUGUAGGCCAAUGAAGGUGCAUUGUAAAGUGUGCUGGAGGUAUCAGAAGUGCGAAUGUUGACAUGAGUAGCGAUAAAGCGGGUGAAAAGCCCGCUCGCCGAAAGCCCAAGGUUUCCUACGCAACGUUCAUCGGCGUAGGGUGAGUCGGCCCCUAAGGCGAGGCAGAAAUGCGUAGUCGAUGGGAAACAGGUUAAUAUUCCUGUACUUGAUUCAAAUGCGAUGUGGGGACGGAGAAGGUUAGGUUAGCAAGCUGUUGGAAUAGCUUGUUUAAGCCGGUAGGUGGAAGACUUAGGCAAAUCCGGGUCUUCUUAACACCGAGAAGUGACGACGAGUGUCUACGGACAUGAAGUAACCGAUACCACGCUUCCAGGAAAAGCCACUAAGCUUCAGUUUGAAUCGAACCGUACCGCAAACCGACACAGGUGGGCAGGAUGAGAAUUCUAAGGCGCUUGAGAGAACUCGGGAGAAGGAACUCGGCAAAUUGAUACCGUAACUUCGGGAGAAGGUAUGCCCUCUAAGGUUAAGGACUUGCUCCGUAAGCCCUGGAGGGUCGCAGAGAAUAGGUGGCUGCGACUGUUUAUUAAAAACACAGCACUCUGCUAACACGAAAGUGGACGUAUAGGGUGUGACGCCUGCCCGGUGCUGGAAGGUUAAUUGAAGAUGUGCAAGCAUCGGAUCGAAGCCCCAGUAAACGGCGGCCGUAACUAUAACGGUCCUAAGGUAGCGAAAUUCCUUGUCGGGUAAGUUCCGACCCGCACGAA